AUUGAAUUAUUGCGAUAUUGCGUAUUUAACGUCAUUCAUUAUAUUACGUUUAUUGCGGUCGAAAACUAACGCGUGGUUAAGAGGACGCGUGAAACGUGUUGUCUCCUUCUUACAAACGCGUAGGACGCGGAAAAUUUGCGUUCGACAGGGACAAUUUUGCGCUAUUAGUUUUAACAUUUCAAUGGAUUGGCCUAUUGCAUCGAACCAUUAUAGGUAUAAGAACAUUAUCCGUCCAACUGCGUCGGUUUUGUUUCGAAGUU